rnacentral:rRNA from 1 species
UACGUAGGGGGCAAGCGUUGUCCGGAUUUAUUGGGCGUAAAGAGCGUGUAGGCGGCCAGGUAGGUCUGCUGUGAAAACUCGAGGCUUAACCUCGAGCUGUCGGCGGAAACCAUCUGGCUAGAGUCCGGAAGAGGAGAAUGGAAUUCCUAGUGUAGAGGUGAAAUUCGUAGAUAUUAGGAAGAACACCAGUGGCGAAGGCGGCUCACUGGUCCGGUACUGACGCUGAGGUGCGAAAGCGUGGGGAGCAAACAGG